ensembl:ncRNA F56F10.8 ncRNA
ACCACCAUGUCCGCGAUUAUUUUUCGGAGAGAGGGAGACCGAGAGAGAGAAAAGGGACUGACUGUGGCUAAUUAUGAGACGUAAUUACGGGGGGUGCGACGCGAAGGACUUAGAAACAAAUAAAUGGUAGGGGCGAACGAAAGAACAUAC